UUUAAGUGCAACCAUAAGUUUCCAUGUCCAACUUUAAUCGUUCAUCUUAUUUAAAUUUUUUUCUAAUUAACAUGAAUAAUACUUUAUGCGUGACUUAUGUUUUUAAUUUUUUUUUCAAAUAAGACGGAUGAUUAAAGUUAGGAAUGGAAAAUUAUGGUUGCACUUAAA
rfam:Oryza barthii chromosome 8, whole genome shotgun sequence.